rnacentral:snoRNA from 1 species
GUCCUUUUGUAUUUCAUAAGCAUGAUGAUGGGGUGUUCACACCAUUGUGUGACAUGUGUUUUCCUCAGACCUUGGCACAUUACUCAUCUGAUG